rnacentral:rRNA from 1 species
AGUGAACGCUGGCGGUAGGCCUAACACAUGCAAGUUGAACGGCAGCACAGUAAGAGCUUGCUAUUACGGGUGGCGAGUGGAGGAUGGGUGAGGAAUACAAUGGAAUCUACUUUUUCGUGGGGGAUAACGUAGGGACACUUCCGCUAAUACGGCAUACGACCUACGGGUGAAAGCAGGGGAUCUUCGGACCUUGCGCGAUUGCAUGAGCCGAUGUCGGAUUUGGUAGUUGGCGGGGUAGAGGCCCACCAAGGCGACGAUCCGUAGCUGGUCUGAGAGGAUGGUCGGCCACACUGAGACAGGGACACGGUCCAGACUCUUACGGGAGGCGGCAGUGGGGAAUAUUGGACAAUGGGCGCAAGCCUGAUCCAGCCAUACCGCGUGGGUGAAGAAGGCCUUCGGGUUGUAAAGCCCUUUUGUUGGGAAAGAAAAGCAGCAGGUUAAUACCCCACUGUUCCGACGGUACCCAAAGAAUAAGCACCGGCUAACUUCGUG